rnacentral:rRNA from 1 species
CCUGCCUUAUACAGGGGGAUAACAGUUGGAAACGACUGCUAAUACCGCAUAAGCGCACGGUAUCGCAUGAUACAGUGUGAAAAACUCCGGUGGUAUAAGAUGGACCCGCGUCUGAUUAGCUUGUUGGUGAGGUAACGGCCCACCAAGGCGACGAUCAGUAGCCGGCCUGAGAGGGUGAACGGCCACAUUGGGACUGAGACACGGCCCAAACUCCUACGGGAGGCAGCAGUGGGGAAUAUUGCACAAUGGGGGAAACCCUGAUGCAGCGACGCCGCGUGAGUGAUGAAGUAUUUCGGUAUGUAAAACUCUAUCAGCAGGGAAGAUAAUGACGGUACCUGACUAAGAAGCACCGGCUAAAUACGUGCCAGCAGCCGCGGUAAUACGUAUGGUGCAAGCGUUAUCCGGAUUUACUGGG